CCUANGGGAGGCUGCAGUCGAGAAUCUUCCGCAAUGGACGCAAGUCUGACGGGGCGACGCCGCGUGCAGGAUGAAGGCCUUCGGGUUGUAAACUGCUGUUGCAUCUUACGAACCCCCGGGAGUUAAUAGCUCUCCGGGAUGACCAGGGUGUGAGGAAGCACAGGCUAACUCCGUGCCAGCAGCCGCGGUAAUACGGAGUGUGCAAGCGUUACUCGGAAUCACUGGGCAUAAAGCGCGCGUAGGCGGGCAUUCAAGUCGGUUGUGAAAUCCCUCAGCUCAACUGAGGAACUGCAGCCGAUACUGUCUGUCUUGAGGACGAGAGGGGAGAGUGGAACUUCUGGUGGAGCGGUGAAAUGCGUAGAUAUCAGAAGGAACGCCGGUGGCGAAAGCGACUCUCUGGCUCGUAUCUGACGCUGAGGCGCGAAAGCUUGGGUAGCAAACGGGAUUAGAUACCCUANUANUC
rnacentral:rRNA from 1 species